rnacentral:pre_miRNA from 1 species
UUAGUACUCUUUCCGUCCAACAAAAGAUGUCUCAAGUUUGUUAAAAUUUGAAUGUAUCUAGACAUGACUUAGUGUAUAGAUGCAUUCAAAUUUAGUCAAAGUUGAGACAUUCUUUGUUGGACGGAGGGAGUAUUAA